rnacentral:SRP_RNA from 1 species
GCUGGGUGUGGUAGCGCACACCUGUACUCCCAUCUACUUGGGAGGCUGAGGUGAGAGGAUUGCCAGAGCCCAGGAAUUCUAGGCUACAGUGAGCUCUGAUUGCGCCACUGCAUUCCAGCCUGGGUGACAGCAAGACCCCAUCUCUA